rnacentral:rRNA from 1 species
GCUUACGACCACACCGGCCUGAGUACGCCUGAUCUCGUCUGAUCUCGGAAGCUAAGCAGGGUCGGCCUGGUAGUACUUGGAUGGGAGACCGCCUGGGAAUACCAGGUGCUGUAAGCU